rnacentral:snRNA from 1 species
UCGGGGCGUGGACCGACGC